rnacentral:rRNA from 1 species
CCUACGGGAGGCUGCAGUGAGGAAUAUUGGUCAAUGGCCGGAAGGCUGAACCAGCCAAGCCGCGUGAAGGACGAAGGUGCCAAGCAUUGUAAACUUCUUUUGUCAAGGGACAAAAUCAGGCUCGAGAGCCUGACCGAGGGUACUUGAAGAAAAAGCAUCGGCUAACUCCGUGCCAGCAGCCGCGGUAAUACGGAGGAUGCGAGCGUUAUCCGGAUUUAUGGGGGUUAAAGGGUUCGUAGGCGGACUGUUAAGUCAGCGGUAAAAGCCCGGGGCUCAACCCCGGCGAGCCGUUGAAACUGGCUGGCUGGAGAUGUCGAGAGGUAGGCGGAAGGCGCAGUGUAGCGGUGAAAUGCUUAGAUAUUGCGCAGAACUCCGAUUGCGAAGGCAGCAUACCGGCGGCGAUCUGACGCUGAGGCACGAAAGCGUGGGGAGCGAACAGGAUUAGAUACCCGAGUAGUC